GCAUACGGUGGAUGCCUUGGCAGUCAGAGGCGAUGAAGGACGUAGUAACCUGCGAUAAGCGUUGGUAAGCUGGUAAACAAGCUUUGACCCAACGAUUUCCGAAUGGGGAAACCCAUCUAACAUAAGUUAGAUAUCUUGCACUGAAUACAUAGGUGUAAGAAGCAAACCCGGAGAACUGAAACAUCUAAGUACCCGGAGGAAAAGAAAUCAACCGAGAUUCCCUGAGUAGCGGCGAGCGAAAGGGGACCAGCCCA
rnacentral:rRNA from 12 species